UGGACCAAAAAUCUCAUCCUGUGCUAUCGACAUGUCCUCCUUGACAUUUGAGAACACUGUGGGCUGAAUAAAGUAGCCUUUGGAGCCAAUUCUAUCACCACCACAUUCAAGGGUGGCAGAGCUGUCACGGCCUUCUCUUAUGUACCUAAGAAUCUUCUGAAAUUGCUCCGAGUCGAUCUGAGGACCUUGUUCAACACCUUUCUUGAAGGGAUCGCCAACUACACGUCUCAUUGCACGUGCCUUUGCCUUCUCUACAAAUUCAUCAUAUACUCGUUCAUGUACAUAUGUACGAGAACCAGCACAACAACAUUGG
rnacentral:misc_RNA from 1 species